AAUUUCAGCUGAAAAAGUCAUGAACAUAAAAGUUAUAGAACUCAUCAAGACAUAUAACUUUUAUUUUGGUUAUUUCUUCAUCCGAUAAAGUGAUAGUAAUAUUAUUCACAAAAUUUGCAUAUGUCUCUUAUAGUUUAUAAAACCAUAUGAGAGAUAUGUAAAUUUUGUAAACGAUGUUACUAUCAUUUUGCCGGAUGAAGAAAUGAUCAAAUAAAAGUUAUAGAUCUUGAUGAGUUAUAAACCUUUGUUGUUGAUGACCUUUUCAAUUGAAAUC
rnacentral:pre_miRNA from 1 species